CUGUCGGCAGCAGAGAGCAAGCAGCUGGCUUGGAGAAGUCAGACUGCUGUCUCGCCUCUUCUUCCUGCACACCAUAGCUGUCAAUGCUGCUGUUCACAUGGGUGUGUUGCAGGGACAAAAACAAGCACUGAAAAUGGUACCUUCUGGCUGUUACUGCUGCAGAAUUCACUCUGAAACAGUUUUUGAUUGUGAAAUGUGGCUUCUCGGGUUCCUGCUGUUGCCAGUAGAGCCAAGAGGCAAGAGCAAGAGAGGCAAGAGACAAGAGAGAGCCUAAGAGUCAAGUCAACAAACAGGAGAACUCAGCUUGGGUGACUCUGACUGGUGAAAGGGACCAGCACCCCCCUCCACUGCAGAGUCUUGAAGAGACAGUAACAAUUUUGAGCACAGAUAGGACUCUGUACAAACUGGGACAAUACUGACUUGGCAUUCCACAUCACUUGAGGUACUAUUUGCCUGGAUGAAACAAUAUUAUAUUUACUGGAAAAUUCCAACCCAGGUUAUGGCCAGGAGGAGGACUGGCAGACAACUACAUCUAACCCUAAGCAGCACUCCUGGCCCUACACUGGAUAAGGCUCUUGAAGCUCUACUGGGCCACAGUAGCUGCCCCAGCACCUCCCUCCCAUUGCAACACCCUUUGGAAUUCAGCAAUUUUUCAGUUUACAGCCUUUGGACCUCCUGGCAUUAGGGUCUGGGCUGAUGCUUCCUUCAUUAAAGCUUUAUCCUCACCUGUUGAGAUUUGCAAAGA